rnacentral:rRNA from 1 species
UACGUAGGGUGCAGGCGUAAUCGGAAUUACUGGGCGUAAAGCGUGCGCAGGCGGUUUGCUAAGACAGGUGUGAAAUCCCCGGGCUUAACCUGGGAACUGCGCUUGUAACUGGCAAGCUUGAGUGUGGCAGAGGGGGGGUGGAAUUCCACGUGUAGCAGUGAAAUGCGUUAGAUAUGUGGGAGGAACACCGAUGGCGAAGGCAGCCCCCCUGGGUCAAGACUGACGCUCAUGCACGAAAGCGUGGGGAGCAAACAGG